CCUCAGUCGAAUUCUCUAUAUCUAGUGAGGGCUUUGACUUAUGAUUAGAAUCCAAAGAGAAAUUAAUACAGAAGAAGACGAAGUUAUAAUGAAAAUUGAGGAGCAGCUUUUUUGGUUAGUCACGUCAUGUGAAGAGGAAGAAGAUGAAGGAGAAGGAGAAGAAGAAGAAGAAGAUCAUUAAUUAGGGAGAGGGUCACAAUGCAGUACGAGACAGUUCACUGAAUCUGUCUAUCUAUGUAAACCCCACAAACUCUCACGCAUAUCAUAGCUUCUGAUGAAUACAAACAAGCCUCGAUCCCAUUAACCACAGACUUGUCCGUCUCUUCUUCUUCUUCUUCUUCACACUCAUCUUUAUAAUUAACACACACAUAUGUUAUAUACUCAUCUGUGGAUGUGCCUAUACUAUAAAGACAUGUCACACGUGGUGGGUUAUCUAUGUAACUACGUUUUUGAGUGCAAUAUGUAUCUAUUUACACGAUACUUUACUGUUUUCUUUUAAUGGAUAGCAUUAGAAUGACUUGAUGGUCUAACCAUUAACAUUAGAAUGACUUGAUGGUCUAACCAUUAACAUUAGAAUAACUUGAGUCCAUCAUAACUUGGUUUAAUAGUUUUUUUUGGUUGUGAUGUUACGCCACAAGCACAAAUUCUG
rnacentral:sRNA from 1 species